UACGAGGGGGGCAAAUGUUGUUCGGAAUCACUGGGCGUAAAGGGAGCGUAGGCGGGUUCUUAAGUAAGGUGUUUAAUCCCGGGGCCCAACCCCGGACCGGCACUUUAAACUGGGAAUCUUGAAUAGUGGAGAGGUCAGUGGAAUUGGGGGUGUAGCGGUGGAAUGCGUAGAGAUCCCCAAGAACACCAGUUGCGAAGGCGGCUGACUGGACACAUAUUGACGCUGAGGCUCGAAAGCAUGGGGGAGCAAACAGG
rnacentral:rRNA from 1 species